ACACAUGCAAGUCGAACGGUGAACACGGAGCUUGCUCUGUGGGAUCAGUGGCGAACGGGUGAGUAACACGUGAGCAACCUGCCCCUGACUCUGGGAUAAGCGCUGGAAACGGCGUCUAAUACUGGAUACGAACCACGAAGGCAUCUUCAGUGGUUGGAAAGAAUUUCGGUUGGGGAUGGGCUCGCGGCCUAUCAGCUUGUUGGUGAGGUAAUGGCUCACCAAGGCGUCGACGGGUAGCCGGCCUGAGAGGGUGACCGGCCACACUGGGACUGAGACACGGCCCAGACUCCUACGGGAGGCAGCAGUGGGGAAUAUUGCACAAUGGGCGAAAGCCUGAUGCAGCAACGCCGCGUGAGGGAUGACGGCCUUCGGGUUGUAAACCUCUUUUAGCAGGGAAGAAGCGAAAGUGACGGUACCUGCAGAAAAAGCGCCGGCUAACUACGUGCCAGCAGCCGCGGUAAUACGUAGGGCGCAAGCGUUAUCCGGAAUUAUUGGGCGUAAAGAGCUCGUAGGCGGUUUGUCGCGUCUGCUGUGAAAUCCGGAGGCUCAACCUCCGGCCUGCAGUGGGUACGGGCAGACUAGAGUGCGGUAGGGGAGAUUGGAAUUCCUGGUGUAGCGGUGGAAUGCGCAGAUAUCAGGAGGAACACCGAUGGCGAAGGCAGAUCUCUGGGCCGUAACUGACGCUGAGGAGCGAAAGGGUGGGGAGCAAACAGGCUUAGAUACCCUGGUAGUCCACCCCGUAAACGUUGGGAACUAGUUGUGGGGUCCAUUCCACGGAUUCCGUGACGCAGCUAACGCAUUAAGUUCCCCGCCUGGGGAGUACGGCCGCAAGGCUAAAACUCAAAGGAAUUGACGGGGACCCGCACAAGCGGCGGAGCAUGCGGAUUAAUUCGAUGCAACGCGAAGAACCUUACCAAGGCUUGACAUAUACGAGAACGGGCCAGAAAU
rnacentral:rRNA from 1 species